rnacentral:rRNA from 1 species
UACGUAGGUGGCGAGCGUUGUCCGGAUUUACUGGGCGUAAAGGAUGCGUAGGCGGAUAUUUAAGUGAGAUGUGAAAUACCCGAGCUUAACUUGGGUGCUGCAUUUCAAGCUGGAUAUCUAGAGUGUGGGAGAGGAGAAUGGAAUUCCUAGUGUAGCGGUGAAAUGCGUAGAGAUUAGGAAGAACACCAGUGGCGAAGGCGAUUCUCUGGACCAUAACUGACGCUGAGGCAUGAAAGCGUGGGUAGCAAACAGG